rnacentral:tRNA from 1 species
GCGCGAUUAGCUCAGCUGGCUAGAGCAUUCGACUGAUACUCGAAAGGUCCCUGGUUCGAGCCCAGGAUCGCGCACCA